CGAAGCAACACAUCCCUUCAUUGCAGAAACAGAGAAGGAGCUGAGCUUGGCCAUGGGUGAUUAUGUUGUUGUGCGAAAGGUAUUCUGCUUUCAUUUGAGAUGUAAAAUUUCAUAGGGACAGCAUUUUCCUAACAAAUAGGUAGAUCUAGGUUGUGCAGUUGGAAUUGCCAUCCGCUCUUUCAAUUAGGAUGGAAGAAAGGUGAACUGAGAUAGUGCUAUAUAAUGAUUUUCCAAAAGCCAAGCGUCCCUUCCAGUGAUGAUUUGGCUGACAGCUUAUCAUUGAAAUAUCCAUGACAUGCUUUUGUUGAAGGGAGACAUUUUCCCUGGCUGGAUUGU
rnacentral:misc_RNA from 1 species